UCGGCGCGGCAGCCACCGCCGGUGCAAGCAGUGACCGACCAAUAGCGGCUGCCGCCGCGGCGUGCUCUGGUAGGCGCGGCUCUCCAGUGCCGACACAGCUGCGCCGGCGACGGGUCCGCUUCGGCUGGAGGCAUCGCAGCAAGCCAGCUCACUCGUGCACCUCACUUACAGUUCGCCAUGUGUCUACUGGUGUCAGUCUUGUUGCUGGCAGCAUCCGUAGAACCCACCACUUGGGACGGCAUCAUGCCCUGGUUCUCAGAUUCCAGAAACUUACCACCAUCACUCUGACUCUGAGAAAGAUCGAACCAUUGGGAUGAGGCACAUUGGAACGUCAUACCGUCAGAGCGCACACAAAGUUGACUGUAGCGCAAUGGCUGCAGAAGGAGUGGUGGCGAGAUGGUCUAAAAACAACAACGUGGCAAGAAGAAUAGGCACACGCCCUUCCAGAAGAGCUACGCCACGAGAAGACCAUAAGAUUGCUCGACUGGCUCUGGCGAUCAGACAGAUGACAACAGCUGAAAUCUGGGGAGAGGUUACAGGUGCAGUGUCACCACAAUCCCUGGCGAACAUAUUACUAGAAACUCAGAUGAGGUCACGAGUUGCUACGCGCCCUUUACCGCUCCAGCCAUCCCACUGGAAAAGGACUUGCAUGGUGUGCAGCCAGUCAACUAGGACAUAUAGUGCCACUCUGUCGUGUCCAGCGACGAAUCUC